CGCGUCGGCAGUGCGACCGGCUCGGCCGCCGUGCCGUCGACCGCCGCGAGCAGCCGGAGGGCUGCGGCGCGUCCGAGUUCCGCUCCCGGCAGUGCGAC
rnacentral:tRNA from 1 species